UACGAAGGGUGCGAGCGUUGUUCGGAAUUACUGGGCGUAAAGGGUUCGUAGGCGGGAGCUUAAGUCAAGUGUGAAAUCCCCAGGCUCAACCUGGGACGUGCACCUGAAACUGAGCUUCUUGAAUCUUGGAGAGGGUGAUGGAAUUGCUGGUGUAGGAGUGACAUCCGUAGAGAUCAGCAGGAACACCGGAGGCGAAGGCGAUCACCUGGCCAAAGAUUGACGCUGAGGAACGAAAGCGUGGGGAGCAAACAGG
rnacentral:rRNA from 1 species